CAUGCUAUUUACAUUUCAGGAAACAGGAGAUCCAUUACCUCACCAGGUGAGAGAGGUCAGUCAGGUGACCUCAACAGGUGAGAGAGGUCAGUCAGGUGACCUCAACAGGUGAGAGGGGUCAGUCAGGUGACCUCAACAGGUGAGACAGGUAGUAACUGAUUACUGAAUGUGUCAUGAAGCUGCUGUCUUCCUGAGUCGACCAACCAAUCAGAC